ensembl:lncRNA
UUUUUUUUUUUUGGUGGAGACAGGGAUUCACCAUGUUGGCUAGGCUGGUCUCGAACUCCUGACCUCGAAUGAUCCGCCUACCUUGGCCUCCCAAAGUCCUGGGAUUACAGGCAUGAUCCCACAGUGCCCAGCCAAUUUCUGUUUAAGAGUCAGGGUCUCACUCUGUUGCCCAAGCUAGAGUGCAGUGGUGCACUCAUAGCUCACUAUAACCUGGAACUUCUAGGCUCAAGCGAUCCUCCUGCCUCCCAUAGUCUGGUAAGUAGGACUAUAGUGUGCGCCACCACAACCGACUAAUUUUGUUUUCUGUGGUUUUUUUGUUUUUCUGUUUUGUUUUGUUUGUUUGCUUGUUUGUUUUUGAGAGAAAGGUUCUUGCUAUGUUGCAAAGACUGGCCUCAAGCAAUCCUCCCACAUCUGCCUCCCAGAGCUAUGGGAUUACAGGCAUAAGCCACGGUGCUGGAUUGGAUUUUAGCAGACAAAUUCUGACUUUAAAUGGCAAGUUGAGUACAUUGUGGGGAGCACAAAACUGCACCAAUCAGAUCUCUGACUCUGGGGAGUAUGACUGGGGGAAGGGAGUGUUUUGGAAAUCCACUCUCUAUCAGUGGACCACCACAUUCACAGAAAGACCACAACCCUCACAGGCUUCUUCCAGCCAGAGGCCAGCAGGGAUAUGAAGGUAGGCCCAUGCCUAGGAAAUCUCAGACUCCUCAGAUGGCUCAAGGUCUCCCCAGCUGCUUGGAUAAACUUUCCUGAAACUGGUCUCCACUCUGAAAUUAUUCUUUCCUUUUAUUUUCAGAAAACUCUCCAUAUUGGUGAUGGUCAUUAUUUUCCGUAUCUAGCCACUCACCUUAAUCAGCGUGUUCCCAGCUUCUUUGCUCACCAUCGUUUCUUGAACUCCACUCUUCCAAGUUGUUUCCUUCUUUCUGAAAUAUACAUUCUUGCUCCUUUCAUCAAGGUUGUACAGGUUAGAAACUCACACUCUGCACAUCUGACAAUACCUUCAUUUUGUGCUCACACUUUGUAUUCCAGAUAGAUACAGAAUUCUAUUUUUGAGACACCCAAGGACAUAUCACUGGUGGCUGUGGCAACUUUAUCAUCUGUUUCACUGCCAGUCUUUCCUGGGAAAUCUGUGUUUUGAGCUUGGUGACUUUCAAAUUGUUUAAUUUGUCUUUGAUGUUCUGCAUUUCGGAUUUGAUGUCUCUCUCUAUUCCUCAAUGUUAUCUCUUCCAUAAAAGUAAAGUUUUGCUUUAGCACUGUCAGAGGUAGUCAAACCAGAGUGACUCCAUUUUGAGUGAGGGCUAGGAAAAUGAGUCUGGGACUUGCUGGGCUGCAUUCUCAGAAAGCUAGGCAUUCCUAGCCUCUAGAUGUUCACAGUUAAGGGAACAAAUUAACAAAGUUUACUAAACAGAUCCAGACUUGGGAGUGUCCAGAUAUCCCAAUAUCUGGAGAACAAAGGCAUUCCUAAUUUUGCUUUAAAGAUAAUAUUGAUUCUUGCAAAAUAUAGUAAUUAAGAAAAUUAAUCCUUUAUCACAAACUCUUUUGCAGAGCACAUCUACCCACCUACACAAGCAUUAUACCUAGGAUGGGGGCUUUCCACCUUUUGCUUUCAGGAACGUCCCACUCUAUGGAGUAGCUUUUACUUUCUUAAUAAACUUGCUUUUGCUUUGCACUGCAGACUCACCCUGAAUUAUUUUUUGUGUAAGAUUCAAGAACCCUCUCUUGGGGUUUAGAUGGGGACCCCUUUCCUGUAACAGGACCAUCUCUAAGGUUUCGAUGUAUGUUCUGAACCCAACUUCCCCCUCCUCAGACUUACCUUUGUUCUUGAGGAUCUCAUCUUUGCAACAGACCCUCCAAAGCCUCGGAGAGAAACUUGGCGCUUCCUCACGGUAUCUCCGCGCACCCACUCACCCCUACGACGUCAGAACACCCACUGAGUGACGGAAUUAAUGAAUGAGGGAGCAGGGACUCGGGGUGGUUUCCCUUUCAGAACUUCAAGAAUUCUCCCUUCUCCAAACGAAGCUGCUUUGCACCCUGGGCUCAAGCAAGGUAACCCAUGCACACUUGCCUGCAACAGCACCAAGAACUGCAAUUACCUGAGACUCUACCCCAUCUACCCUCACGCCCCACUGCAGGGGAAACCCCAGGUCCUCCAACUCCCAGCGCAGUCUCCACCCACCCACGGUCAUUCCGUCCAGACCAUGCCCUUCUGCCCUGGCCCCCUCCCACCCUCCAGGGGCAGUUAAGUCCCCCGACAUCUCUAUGUUCUAAGGGUCGCGGAGCCCCCCUUCCUGGCAAAGUGCUGAGCGGUCACAGCAGGGGCCAGGGAAGCAGAGGCGUCAGGACGCUCCCGGAGGAGCUGGGCUACUUGGGCGCUGGGAAGGCGGAGGUUGCGGUGAGCCGAGACAGGCCAUUGCACUCCAGCCUGGGCAACAAGAGCGGCCUGGCGGCCCCGCUAGCGGCACCUCCCCCGCAUCCGAAACGCUCAGCUCC